rfam:Sorghum bicolor cultivar BTx623 chromosome 10, whole genome shotgun sequence.
GUAGUCGGAUUCACAUCAAUCCACAUGUGUUGGGGUGAGUUAGAGUGAAAUUUGAACUAAAUUCCACCCAAAUCCACUCCAACACAUGUGGAUUGAUUGAGGUGAAUCCGACA